CCGAAUGGCCGACAUUUUCAGUGU
rnacentral:siRNA from 1 species